rnacentral:rRNA from 1 species
GACGAACGCUGGCGGCGUGCUUAACACAUGCAAGUCGAACGGUAAGGCGCUGUUUUUUUGGGGUGCUCGGGUGGCGAACGGAAGAGGUACGCGAGAGUAGCCUACCCUGGACUCUUGUAUAGCUUCAGGACAUUGGGGCUUAUAUCGGACAGGAUCUCCUGGUGCUUUGGGGUGGUUGGUAUGGUUCGGCGGUUGGGGCUGGGCGCGCGGCUCAUGAGGCUGUUCGGGGGGUAGGUGCUUACCAAGGCUUUGACGGGUAGACGGCCUGAGUGGGUGACCGGCCAGGUUGGGACUGAGAUGCGGGCCAGACUCGUACGGGAUGGAGCAGUGGGGAAAAGUGCACUGUGGGCGGACGCCGGAAGCAGCAACGCCGCGUGGGUGAUGACGGCCUUCGGGUUGUAAAGCGCUUUCGCCUGGGACGUAGCGGGGGUGACGGUAACGGGUAAAGAAGCACCGGCUAACUACGUG